rnacentral:lncRNA from 1 species
GCCAUGACAACCCACUCAGGAAAGUACCUAGGUGCCAGACUUAGAUGUUUUUUUUUUUUCUUUUUGGGUCCCAGAGGAGUACCAGAGUGAGUUCAUAAUUCUUUUAUUGCUACCUGGAGAGAAGCCUUUCCCACUCAGUGUUGCAUCCAAUGGCAGAUCAACACUCUUGGAAUGGUAUGCUAAUAUGCACCUCUUGGAACUUCUAUGCUCUGAUAAUGCAACCAACACAGGAGAAUGGCAGAAGAGCAGAGCUGGAGGCCUUCCCUUCCUUCCAUUUCUGGAGGACUGUGUCAGUGCCAGAUUUUGUGAUGGUUGCCAGUGAUUCAAGAUUGAACAAUGUACAGACAGUCCCACCUUUAAGACAUUAUAUGAUCAAGACCUUGAUUCACACAUAAAAGCUUCCCCCCAAAUGGGGUAAUCAUUCCUAAAAGAGAGAAAGUGGAGGAAUAAAGCCUUCACCAAAAUAUUAUACCA